UACGUAGGGUGCGAGCGUUAAUCGGAAUUACUGGGCGUAAAGCGUGCGCAGGCGGUUUGUUAAGACAGAUGUGAAAUCCCCGGGCUUAACCUGGGAACUGCAUUUGUGACUGGCAAGCUAGAGUAUGGCAGAGGGGGGUGGAAUUCCACGUGUAGCAGUGAAAUGCGUAGAGAUGUGGAGGAACACCGGUGGCGAAGGCGGCGACCUGGUCCUAUACUGACACUCAAACACGAAAGCGUGGGUAGCAAACAGG
rnacentral:rRNA from 1 species